rnacentral:rRNA from 1 species
AUUGAACGCUGGCGGCAGGCCUAACACAUGCAAGUCGAACGCGUGGCGGACGGGUGAGUAAUGUCUGGGAAACCGCCUGAUGGAGGGGGAUAACUACUGGAAGCGGUAGCUAAUACCGCAUACCAUGGGAUGUCCCCAGAUGGGAUUAGCUAGUAGGUGGGGUAAAGGCUCACCUAGGCGACGAUCCCUAGCUGGUCUGAGAGGAUGACCAGCCACACUGGGACUGAGACACGGUCCAGACUCCUACGGGAGGCAGCAGUGGGGAAUAUUGCACAAUGGGCGCAAGCCUGAUGCAGCCAUGCCGCGUGUAUGAAGAAGGCCUUCGGGUUGUAAAGUACUUUCAGCGGGGAGGCGUUACCCGCAGAAGAAGCACCGGCUAACUCCGUGCCAGCAGCCGCGGUAAUAC